GCCCGGCUGGCGCAAUGGUAGCGCGCAAGACUUCUACCAAGAAGUGUAUCUUGAGGCUGUGGGUUCGAGUCCCACGUUGGGCU